UUUAGGGUUUGAAUUUUGAAAUAGUAUAAUUCAAAAAAAAAAUAAAAAAAUUAUUUAUUUAUUUUUUUAGAUUUUUAUUUAUUUAAAUAUUUAUUUAUUAUAUAUAUAAAGAACAUGGACAUAAGAGUUUUUUGUCACUUAAUGAAGAAUGUAUUUUUGAAAAUGUCAAAAAGUGAUAGCAUGAAAGUGGUAAACAUGUAAUUUCUCCUAUUUUUUCUCCAUAGAUAUUGAUGAUGUAAGAUUUUCGAAACAUUCAAGCAUUUAAAAUAAUAAUUAUUUUCAUAGAUAUUCAUUUAUAUAA
rnacentral:lncRNA from 1 species